CGGGCUCUUUCACAAGCAAUUCAAUCUUCUGGCCAGCACUUUGUGACGGUACUGCCCAAAGUACUCGAUUGCCUUUCUACAAAUUUUUUGUUAUUCCAAAGUCAUGAAUGCUAUGUCAGAACAGGUUAAUUUAUAGUUCAGAGGACAAUGGGAACCGCGGUGUCAGUCUGUUUGAAGAAGCAACUUGAAUCCUGACAAAUUUCAUAGUGGUUUGCCUGAGAACCAUAUACGCUAGAGUUCCACAUUGCUCAGAAAUCGAUCUAUAGAAGCAUGAUUCCCUAACUCCUAUUAGGCGCUGCCGAUAAUUAUGAUCCUUCUGUGUUUCCUGGUUUCAUUGGGAGUAUUUCUCCAUAUAUUGGGGCACUAUCUUCAGCGAAGGCUAUAUCGUCAUCUGACAAUGAUUUCAAUGGAGAUUUCCCAACUCAAGGUUUUUAACAAAGAUAUAGACAAAGACACAGUUGUCUUGCUUGCAGCCAGAGCAGCAAGACAGGAAAAUCAAGAUGCUAUUGAUGCAGCCAUCACUAACAUGCUUGCUGAUCCAAAGGGAAUAUGGG